rnacentral:rRNA from 1 species
UACGUAGGUGGCAAGCGUUGUCCGGAUUUACUGGGCGUAAAGGAUGCGUAGGCGGACAUUUAAGUCAGAUGUGAAAUACCCGAGCUUAACUUGGGUGCUGCAUUUGAAACUGGGUGUCUAGAGUGCAGGAGAGGUAAGUGGAAUUCCUAGUGUAGCGGUGAAAUGCGUAGAGAUUAGGAAGAACACCAGUGGCGAAGGCGACUUACCGGACUGUAACUGACGCUGAGGCAUGAAAGCGUGGGGAGCAAACAGG